rnacentral:rRNA from 1 species
UGGAGGAAUGUAUAGCGAAAGCUACUUGCAUUUAGCUUAGUUAAUAAAUGCAGGAUUGACUAUGUCGAAUAAAGUUCUAGGUGGGUUAUGAUGAUGACAUUUCCUAUCUAUGUGUCUUGACCAAACUACGUGCCAGCAGUCGCGGUAACACGUAAUAGACUAGUGUUAUUCAUCUUUAAUAGGUUUAAAGGGUACCUAGACGGUAAAUCAAGUCCAAGAAGGGUACUAAUUUGCUAGAGUUUAAUGUGAGGGGGCACUAAAGUACUGAUAAGUGUAGAGAUGAAAUUCUGUGAUACAAUAUACGGCACUGGCAAAGGCGAAAGCAUCUCAUUAUGUAAUAACUGACGUUGAGGGACGAAGGCUAGGUGUAGCAAAAAGGAUUAGAUACCCAAGUAGUCUUAGCAGAAAAUUAUGAAUGUCAUAGGAUGGAGAUACAACAAAUUUUUUUUCUAUAAAUGAAAGUGUAAGCAUUCCACCUCGAGAGUAAUUUGGCAACAUUGGAACUGAAAUCAUUAGACCGUUUCUGAAACAAGUAGUGAAGUAUGUUGUUUAAUUUGAUGGUCCGCAAAAAACCUUACCACAAUUUGAAUAGAAAUUUUUUUUUCGUACAAGCGCUGCACGGUUGUCUUCAGUUAAUGUCGUGAGAUCUUGGUUAGUUCCAUUAAAUUAACGUAAACCCUUACUUUAUUUUGAUAUAGAGUAGUUCACCGCUAGAUUGGAUGUGAUAACAGGGACUAAGACAAGUCAUCAUGGCCUUAAUAUUGU